rnacentral:rRNA from 1 species
CCUACGGGGGGCAGCAGUGGGGAAUAUUGCACAAUGGGGGAAACCCUGAUGCAGCGACGCCGCGUGAAGGAAGAAGUAUUUCGGUAUGUUAACUUCUAUCAGCCGGGGAGAAAAUGACGGUACCUGACUAAGAAGCCCCGGCUAACUACGUGCCAGCAGCCGCGGUAAUACGUAGGGGGUAAGCGUUAUCCGGAUUUACUGGGUGUAAAGGGAGCGUAGGCGGUUUAGUAAGUCAGAUGGUAAAGCCCGGGGGUCAACUCCGGGACUGCCUUUGAAACUGUGGAACUAGAUUGCAGGAGAGGAAAGUGGAAUGCCUGGUGUAGCGGUGAAAUGCGUAGAUAUUAGGAGGAACACCAGUGGCGAAGGCGGCUUACCGG